GCUGAGGUAGCUCAGUUGGUAGAGCACGGCACUGAAAAUGCCGGUGUCCCCAGUUCGACCCUGGGCCUCAGCACCA
rnacentral:tRNA from 3 species